ensembl:snRNA U1 U1 spliceosomal RNA
AUCCUUACCUGGCGGGGGAGAUACUCUGAUCACAAUGGUGGUUUUCUCAGGGUGAGGCUCAUCCAUUGCACUCCAGAUGUGCUGACCCCUGUGAUUCCCCAAAUGUGGGAAACUUGACUACAUAAUUCGUAGUCAUGGGGGACUGUGUUUGUUCUUUACCCUG